GCAUGGUUGUCGUCAGCUCGUGUCGUGAGAUGUUGGGUUAAGUCCCGCAACGAGCGCAACCCUUGUCGCUAGUUACCAUCAUUAAGUUGGGGACUCUAGCGAGACUGCCUCUGCAAGGAGGAGGAAGGCGGGGAUGACGUCAAAUCAUCAUGCCCCUUAUGACCUGGGCUACACACGUGCUACAAUGGACGGAUCAAAGGGAAGCGAAGCCGCGAGGUGGAGCGAAACCCAAAAACCCGUUCUCAGUUCGGACUGCAGUCUGCAACUCGACUGCACGAAGUUGGAAUCGCUAGUAAUCGCGAAUCAGAAUGUCGCGGUGAAUACGUUCUCGGGCCUUGUACACACCGCCCGUCACACCAUGAGAGUUGGUAACACCCGAAGCCGGUGGCUUAACCGCAAGGAGAGAGCUGUCUAAGGUGGGACUGAUGAUUAGGGUGAAGUCGUAACAAGGUAUCCCUACGGGAACGUGCGGCUGGAUCACCUC
rnacentral:rRNA from 1 species